ACGGAGGGUGCAAGCGUUAUCCGGAUUUAUUGGGUUUAAAGGGUCCGUAGGCGGAUCUGUAAGUCAGUGGUGAAAUCUCACAGCUUAACUGUGAAACUGCCAUUGAUACUGCAGGUCUUGAGUAAAUUUGAAGUGGCUGGAAUAAGUAGUGUAGCGGUGAAAUGCAUAGAUAUUACUUAGAACACCAAUUGCGAAGGCAGGUCACUAAGAUUUAACUGACGCUGAUGGACGAAAGCGUGGGGAGCGAACAGG
rnacentral:rRNA from 1 species